GGGGAAUAUUGGACAAUGGGCGAAAGCCUGAUCCAGCCAUGCCGCGUGUGUGAAGAAGGUCUUCGGAUUGUAAAGCACUUUAAGUUGGGAGGAAGGGCUGUUGGCUAAUACCCUGCAGUUUUGACGUUACCAACAGAAUAAGCACCGGCUAACUUCGUGCC
rnacentral:rRNA from 1 species